CGGCCACGUCGCAUUGAAACACCGGUUCCCGUACGAUCACCGAAGUUAAGCAACUUAGGGCCUGAUCAGAUAGGUGAUCAUUUGGGAAUAACUGGUGCUGUAAG